UCCCCUAGUAACUGCGAGUGAAGCGGGAAAAGCUCAAAUUUAAAAUCUGGCAGUCUUUGGCUGUCCGAGUUGUAAUCUAGAGAAGUAUUAUCCGCGCUGGACCGUGUACAAGUCUCCUGGAAUGGGGCGUCAUAGAGGGUGAGAAUCCCGUCUUUGACACGGACUGCCAGGGCUUUGUGAUGUGCUCUCGAAGAGUCGAGUUGUUUGGGAAUGCAGCUCAAAAUGGGUGGUAAAUUCCAUCUAAAGCUAAAUAUUGGCGAGAGACCGAUAGCGAACAAGUACCGUGAGGGAAAGAUGAAAAGAACUUUGGAAAGAGAGUUAAACAGUACGUGAAAUUGCUGAAAGGGAAACGCUUGAAGUCAGUCGCGUUGGCCAGGGAUCAACCUUGCUUUUUUGCUUGGCUUACUUUCUGGUCGAUGGGUCAGCAUCAAUUUUGACUGGUGGAAAAAGUUCAAGGGAAUGUGGCAUCUUCGGAUGUGUUAUAGCCUUUGUUCGCAUACAUUGGUUGGGAUUGAGGAACUCAGCACGCCGCAAGGCCGGGUUUUUAACCACGUACGUGCUUAGGAUGCUGGCAUAAUGGCUUUAAUCGACCCGUCUUGAAACACGGACCAAGGAGUCUAACAUGCCUGCAAGUGUUUGGGUGAAAAACCCGAGCGCGUAAUGAAAGUGAAAGUUGAGAUCCCUGUCGUAGGGAACAUUGACGCCCGGAUCUGACCUUUUGUGACGAUUCUGCGGUAGAGCAUGUAUGUUGGGACCCGAAAGAUGGUGAACUAUGCCUGAAUAGGGUGAAGCCAGAGGAAACUCUGGUGGAGGCUCGUAGCGAUUCUGACGUGCAAAUCGAUCGUCAAAUUUGGGUAUAGGGGCGAAAGACUAAUCGAA
rnacentral:rRNA from 1 species